UGCCUGGCAUAGGAUAUGACUGUCAAUA
rnacentral:piRNA from 1 species